GAUGAACGCUGGCGGCGUGCCUAAUACAUGCAAGUCGAGCGAACAGACGAGGAGCUUGCUCCUCUGACGUUAGCGGCGGACGGGUGAGUAACACGUGGAUAACCUACCUAUAAGACUGGGAUAACUUCGGGAAACCGGAGCUAAUACCGGAUAAUAUAUUGAACCGCAUGGUUCAAUAGUGAAAGACGGUUUUGCUGUCACUUAUAGAUGGAUCCGCGCCGCAUUAGCUAGUUGGUAAGGUAACGGCUUACCAAGGCAACGAUGCGUAGCCGACCUCAGAGGGUGAUCGGCCACACUGGAACUGGGACACGGUCCAGACUCCUACGGGAGGCAGCAGUAGGGAAUCUUACGCAGUGGGCGAAAGCCUGACGGAGCAACGCCGCGUGAGUGAUGAAGGUCUUCGGAUCGUAAAACUCUGUUAUGAGGGAAGAACAACUGUGUAAGUAACUAUGCACGUCUUGACGGUACCUAAUCAGAAAGCCACGGCUAACUACGUG
rnacentral:rRNA from 1 species